AUUUUUUUGGAAAAACAAAUUUGGAGAACAAACUCUCUUCUCUGCUCAUAACGAAUCAACAACAAAGGCAAUCUCAAACUCUCCUUCGGUCGCCGCUCUCACCUUCUCUGUGAACAAACCGCGGCCCUCUCUCUUGAUUUUCUUCUCUUCACGAAUUUAAUCUCUCCAUUGCUCUUUCGUGAAGAACAACAACAACAACACUCGUUCCCCCCUCUCACGAUGAACAAGAACAAGUUCGAUUUCCUCUCUCAAUAGCCCUCUCUCGUUCGUACUUGGCUAUCUCUUUCUCAGAAUAACAACGGCGCUCUCUGUCUUUCACGGCGGCCAUGGACGAACAAGAGGUUCCUUAAAGAUUUUUAGAUAAUACAGGAACAAUAUAUUUGUAGCAACUGAUAAAAGCAAUAUUUGAGAGCAAGGGGUAAAGUCAACUUACCUGCGGCAAGAGAUGUUUUUCCGGAUUUUGUUAAGUGGCCAUGGGAUCUUAUCUCGACGAGAAGAACUUACCGUAUAACCCGGUUUCUUUCACAAACAGA